AUCCAGCUGACGAGUCCCAAAUAGGACUCGACAUGCAUCCUGGAU
rnacentral:hammerhead_ribozyme from 1 species